ensembl:lncRNA
ACUGUAGACAGUCCUACUUUUUCUAAGUCUUCUGUCCCCAGUAAGAUGCUAAGCCCCUCCGGAAUAUUACCACUUGAUCCCCCAAAACCACAAACAAAAGAGCCUUGAAUUUGUGCUUAGAGAUUGAUUACGGAACACUGUCAAUGCCCAUGGUGAAAGUGAUCAGAUUGAGACACAGGAAGAGACGAAAGACAAAGCCCCCAGUCUUCACCAGGGCACCUUUCCACCAUUGGCUUAUUCAUUUGGAAUUAAUAACCACAGCAGCUCUGUGUGGUAGGAAACUCAGGUGAAGAGUGGCCAAGCAGAUUGAAGAAGUUCAUGCAGCUGGCAGGGAGCAGAGCUGAGAACUGGCUGACUGCAGGUGAGUGGCUUUUCUACUGCAGCAGCCUUCUGCACUCUGCUUCCAGUUGAAAAAGACACUUUGAGAGGAGGAGUGAAGACAGACUUCUCCAUCAGGGAGAGACGCUGCAAUUCCUCAUUACCUCAAAACAAGAGUCCUCUCUGCCAAGAACUAAAUUAAUCGGCAAUAACAAACUGUGACCAUUGGCAAAAGGCUAUGGAAAGAGAACUUUAGCGUAGAUGACCAGGGUAAUUAACCACCAACACAGUUCUGAGGACCAGAGUCUUGACCAGGCUCCCAUUCUCCACUCUGAGUCAUCCAAAUUCCGGGCUAGAGCAUGGCCAAUUGGUUUGUGCCUGAAUGGGUUGGGCACCUGUGGGUCCAGCAGCUGCAAGGAUUAUUGGAAGAGCAAGGGUUGAAGACCUGCACUUGAACUUGCAGCAAAUAUUCAGCUCCCUUCUUUUUCUUUCUUCUUCCAUGAAUAUCUUCUAGACUUAGAAAUAAUAAACUGGAUGAGGAAUUGGAAGCACAGAGUGUUUGGUCCAAGACCAUCCAGUUGAGAAGUGGGGGAGUCACAUGCAACCUAGUUGGAAUAUCUACAGCAUCCAGCCCUCAGUCACUCACUCUUUCCUAACAUUCAAGAGAUGGGGCAGGAUAUGUGCAGUCAAGGCAGGCUGGCCUCUGCCUCUGCCUGCUUUGGAGAUGAACAGGCAUGUGCCCACUGCUGAGCUAAUCUCUUGGAUCCCACUCUCAACAGGCAGCUGGACUGGGCUCUCUGGGUGAGGGAAAGGGAAGUUUGCACAAGAACAGCACGGUCCAACUUUUUAAGAUGAGUGCCUAAAGACAGGUCUUUCAGAGACAUGGAGUUAAGGGGGUGGAGUUAACAAAGACAUUUGUAAGUGGGGUUGUUCAUGAACUGCACAAAGUGAGGAGUGUUGUAACUAAUGAGGAGGGAAAUUAAAUAUGAAGCUGGGAAGGAAAAGCAGGCUCCAGGACUUCAGAGAGCUCUGCAUCAAGGCGUUUGAUUUUAUCCUGCAGGUCAGUGCUUCACCAAUGUUUCCACUUUAAAAUCUUAAGGGAAUGAUUGCCUAUCUCUAUACGUUCCUGGUCAGGAGCCAACAACCCCAAGGGUGAAAUUCCUUUGGAAUUCCAUGUUUCAUCUUUAACAGCCAGGAAAAUUAUGUGUUCUACUCCAUAACAUAUUUUCAUUUGUUAAUGUAAAAAUUAUGUUUUAAAUUUAUCACCAAUGGCAUUACAAAAGAUCCGUUGUAUUUAUCAUGUGAGGCUCCUCACCUAGAGAAGGACCCCUCCCCUGGUUUGAGAAUCACAGGUCUAGACAAGAGGAGCCAUUGAAAGGUAUUAAACUAGGAAGGGACAUCAUUCAAUUUGAAUUUUAGAAAGCACUCUGUGGCAACAGCAUAGGGGAGGGAGUAGAGAGGAGGGAAGGCAAAGGAGAGGGAGACAACCGGUUAGGAAACAGUGCCAAUAUCACAGGUCAAAGAUGGUGUAAAAAGCCAGAAAGAAAACAGUAUAGAGCCCUUUGGCUAGGUGUGUCUCUGGAAAAUAAGAACCAAAAAGAGGUAUUUUUCUCAAGACUGAAAGAAAUGUCUAGAAUUCAGUCUAGAAGAGGACCUUUGCUAGUUCUUUUAAAAUAUUUUUAUAAUCUAAUGUUGGUGCUGGAUUCUCAAUAUUCAGACUCUGCAUGAGUUUACAGCACCAGCAAAGUAGGGGCACAGAGAGAAAGGGAAAGAGAAAUUAGAAUAUACCAUAGUGCCAUCCUACAUCUGAGAUCUAUGCCA